UGAGGAAUAUUGCGCAAUGGGCGAAAGCCUGACGCAGCAACGCCGCGUGAGUGAUGAAGGCCUUCGGGUUGUAAAGCUCUGUCGGGUGGGACGAUGUGACCCGUGUAAUGAACGGGUUGUGACGGUACCACCGAAGGAAGCACCGGCUAACUCCGUGCCAGCAGCCGCGGUAAUACGGAGGGUGCAAGCGUUGUCCGGAAUUACUGGGCGUAAAGCGCGUGUAGGCGGUCUGUUAUGUCGGGUGUGAAAUCCCCAGGCUCAACCUGGGAACUGCGCUCGAAACUGGCAGACUUGAGUGCGGAAGGGGAAGGUGGAAUUCCCGGUGUAGAGGUGAAAUUCGUAGAUAUCGGGAAGAAUACCGGUGGCGAAGGCGACCUUCUGGUCCGCAACUGACGCUGAGACGCGAAAGCGUGGGGAGCAAACA
rnacentral:rRNA from 1 species